UACGAAGGGGGCUAGCGUUGUUCGGAAUUACUGGGCGUAAAGCGCGCGCAGGCGGUCCUUUAAGUCAGGGGUGAAAGCCCAGAGCUCAACUCUGGAACGGCCUUUGAAACUAGAGGACUUGGGUACGGGAGAGGUGAGUGGAAUUCCGAGUGUAGAGGUGAAAUUCGUAGAUAUUCGGAAGAACACCAGUGGCGAAGGCGGCUCACUGGCCCGUUACCGACGCUCAGGCGCGACAGCGUGGGGAGCAAACAGGG
rnacentral:rRNA from 1 species